rnacentral:rRNA from 1 species
CGGAAUGAGUAGCGCGAAUGCAGUGAGAAUCUGCAUGGCCGAAAGCCUCAGGUUUUUGGAGGAAGGUUCGUCCGCUCCAAGUUAGUCGGGAGCUAAGGUGAGGCCGGAAGGCGUAGCCGAUGCACAGACGGUAGAGAUUCCGUCACCACCAAAAGAGUUAAGCACAGGGACACAUUUGAAGUCUCAGAGCCGGGUGUUGGUUCCGGUAGAGAUCGAGGGAAGUUAGUACCGAAGUCUGAGAUGGAAGAUGGCGAGAAAAGCUGUGUGUAUUUCUGAGGUGCCCGUACCGCAAACCGACACAGGUAGGUAGGAAGAAGAUUCUAAGGCCAACGGGAGAAGGGUUGUUAAGGAACUCGGCAAGUUGACCCCGUAACUUCGGAAGAAGGGGAGCCUCGAAAGAGGCCGCAGUGAAUAGGCCCAAGCAACUGUUUACCAAAAACACAGGUUUGUGCUAAAUCGAAAGAUGACGUAUACGAGCUGACGCCUGCCCGGUGCUGGAAGGUUAAGAGGAGAUGUGCAAGCAUUGAAUCGAAGCCCCAGUGAACGGCGGCCGUAACUAUAACGGUCCUAAGGUAGCGAAAUUCCUUGUCAGGUAAGUUCUGACCCGCACGAAUGGCGUAACGAUUUGGGCACUGUCUCAACAGCCCGCCCGGCGAAAUUGUAGUACCGGUGAAGAUGCCGGUUACCCGCGACAAGACGGAAAGACCCCAUGGAGCUUUACUGUAGCCUAAUAUUGGGUUUCGAUGUUGCAUGCACAGGAUAGAUGGGACACAGGGAAACAAGUGCUUUGGCAUUUGUGGAGUGGCCGUUGGGAUACCAUCCUUGCGAUAUUGGAAUUCUAACCUGCGCCUUUGAAUCAAGGCGGGGGACAUUGUUAGGUGGGCAGUUUGACUGGGGCGGUCGCCUCCUAAAGAGUAACGGAGGCGUUCAAAGGUUCGCUCAGCUUGAACGGAAAUCAAGCAAAAGAGUGCAAACGCAGAAGCGAGCCUAACUGCGAGACUGACGGGUCGAGCAGUAACGAAAGUUGGAGUUAGUGAUCCGGUGGUAUGUGAGUGGAAAUGCCAUCGCUCAACGGAUAAAAGCUACCCUGGGGAUAACAGGCUGAUCUCCCCCAAGAGUCCACAUCGACGGGGAGGUUUGGCACCUCGAUGUCGGCUCAUCGCAUCCUGGGGCUGAAUUCGGUCCCAAGGGUUUGGCUGUUCGCCAAUUAAAGCGGUACGCGAGCUGGGUUCAGAACGUCGUGAGACAGUUCGGUCCCUAUCUGUCGUGGGCGCAGGAUAUUUGAUGGGAGCUGUUCCUAGUACGAGAGGACCGGAGCGGACGUACCUCUGGCGCACCAGUUGUUCUGCCAAGGGCAUAGCUGGGCAACUAUGUACGGAUCGGAUAAACGCUGAAAGCAUCUAAGCGUGAAGCCGACCCAAAGAUAAGAUAUCCCAUUGUUUCAAACAAGUAAGACCCCUUGAAGACUACAAGGUUGAUAGGCACGAUGUGUAAGUGGAGCGAUCCAUUCAGCAAGCGUGUACUAAUAGGUCGAGGGCUUGACCAC